rnacentral:rRNA from 1 species
AACGAACGCUGGCGGCGUGCUUAACACAUGCAAGUCGAACGGUAAGGCCCUUCGUGGUACACGAGUGGCGAACAGGUGAGUAACGCGUGAGUAACCUUCCCUUCACUCUCGGAUAACAGUUGGAAACGGCUGCUAAUACCCUAUAUUCAGCUCCUUUCUCAUGGUGGGGGUUGGACAGUUUUGGUUGUGUAGGAUGGGCUCUCGUCGUCUCAGCUUGGUGGUGGGGUUAUGGCCUCCCAAGGCGUCGACGGGUAGCCGGCCUGGGAGGGCGGCCGGACACAUUGGGACUGAGAUAAGGCACAAACUCCAACGGGAGGCAGGAGUGGGGAAGAGUGCACUAUGGGAGGAAGCAUGAUGCAGUAACGCAGUGUGCGGGAUGACGGCAUUCGGGUAGUAAACCGCAUUCAGCAGGCACGAAGCGAAAGUGACGGUACCUGCAGAAGAAGCACCGGCUAACUACGUG